UCGGUUGCGCUCUCUCUCUCUCUCUCUCAGGGCUUGAGCGAUAAACGUGAGCACGACAUUCUUCUGUUAAAGAAAGAGGUCAAGUGACGUACUGAGAAAUCUCAUUCGGAGUCCCUUGCCAAGGUUAAUUGUCAUGACAUAUUCUAAAUGUCAUUUUUUGAUGAUUUCUUAGGAAAACUAAACAAUAUGAAAGAUCUAAGAGAUUAUAACAAAUGGUGAAGAAAGUUAAGAACUUACCCUAAAUAAUCUUUAAUUUAAUUUUCCAUGACCUUUGAUUUUUUGGUGCCGUUAACAACUCGUAUCAAAUCUUUUUUUUUUUUUUUUAGAGACUUAAAUAUUGCCAUAAACAUAUGCCUACAUUUCAGUUUCAAUCUAUUUUUAAAAAAAUUGCAAGAACAAAGCAAAAUAGUAGGGGCAAACUUGUUUGACAUCAAGGAACAUAUCAUUCACCAGAAUCUUCUUAUGUUUUCAAGAUUUUUCCAUGAAAUUGGGAUAUUCACUCUUAGCUAUGGAGUUUCUAUUAUCUACCCAAAAAAGCUAUGGAGUUUCUAUUUGCUGCAUUUGAACAGGCCUUCAAUUUUAAAAAAGAUGAAAGUUUGAAUGUUUAGGAUUAAGGAUGCUGAAAGUUCUGGGCAAAUCUUACUAUGUAUGUGCCUUUCUUCCCAGUUCUAACAUUUGAAGUUUGUGCAUGCUUUAUUUGGUGCAUUACUAAUCAGAUUUGAUGCUCUCUCUAUAGACGUUCUUUUCUUUGACUGAAUCUUGAACAUGAAUUGUUUCUUUACUUCAUUCCAUAGAGAGCUUUAAGCUAUGUUUCGAUAUGACCUACUGGUUUGGCCUGCUCAACUAACAGGCACAAAAUUGCGGUACCUCCAAAGGUGGUGGUCUAUUCUUUCCCCUGAUAUAUUUAGGGCCUUUUUAGCAAAGACAAGAUACUUCAAAAAAGAUUUUUGACUCCUGUGUUUGCUAUACAUGUUAGUUUCGUUGAGUAAUUUCCAUAUUUUAAAUGAAGCGUCUACGUGCUACAACUCUCUCAAUCCCUGGAUUAAAGGCCUACUGAAGAUAAAAAAGGAGGGCAGAUGAGGAAACGACCUUGGGUCAAGAUGGUAGAGUGCUAGGCGUUCAACGUCUCAAGUUCCAUUCUUAUGUAACCAUGUCAAAAAAAAAAAAGAGGGCAGAUUUCUGCCUGCUUUUAAAUUGUCAUCUUGUACAGUACUCACCCGAGUACUAGCGUGUUAGAGUGAUCGCUCAAGCAGUGUAUGCAUGUCGUAUAUACUCCCUAUUCUGGAGGUGUUCUCGUAUCAGCAGAGCUCGAGUGUGAGGCAACUCGGAUGAGUUUCUUACACUGAUUCCCAGUGAGGAACUGUGGAGAAUCCCCAAGGUACAUUCAUAUGGGUACUGUCAAUCUCAAUUGUCCGAGAUUUUGAAUGGCCGGUGGAUCUCCAUGUCGUUAGCUAUGUACCAUGUGUGCCUGGUCUAUGGUUCACUCUACCUGAACAUAGUACAUAUUAGUUUGGAGUAUGAAUACGUUUGAGGGUGUGUAAUCA